GGGGAAUUUUCCGCAAUGGGCGAAAGCCUGACGGAGCAAUACCGCGUGAGGGAGGAAGGCUCUUGGGUCGUAAACCUCUUUUCUCAGGGAAGAACACAAUGACGGUACCUGAGGAAUCAGCAUCGGCUAACUCCGUGCCAGCAGCCGCGGUAAUACGGAGGAUGCAAGCGUUAUCCGGAAUCAUUGGGCGUAAAGCGUCCGCAGGUGGCUUUUCAAGUCUGCUGUCAAAGCCCGGGGCUCAACCCUGGAGAGGCAGUGGAAACUGAGGAGCUGGAGUGCGGUAGGGGCAGAGGGAAUUCCCGGUGUAGCGGUGAAAUGCGUAGAUAUCGGGAAGAACACCAGUGGCGAAGGCGCUCUGCUGGACCGUAACUGACACUCAUGGACGAAAGCUAGGGGAGCGAAUGGGAUUAGAUACCCCAG
rnacentral:rRNA from 1 species